GACGAACGCUGGCGGCGUGCUUAACACAUGCAAGUCGAACGGAAAGGCCCUGCUUUUGUGGGGUGCUCGAGUGGCGAACGUGUGUGUAACACGUGAGUAACCUUCCCUUGACUUUGGGAUAACCUCAGGAAACUGGUGCUAAUACCUGAUAGGAGCUCCUGCUGCCUGGUGGGGGUUGGACAGUUUCGGCGGUUGGGGAUGUACUCGCGGCUUAUCAGCUUGUUGGUGGGGUAGUGGCUUACCAAGGCUUUGACGGGUAGCCGGCCUGAGAGGGUGACCGGCCACAGUGGGACUGAGAUACGGCCAAGACUGCUACGGGAGGAAGCAGUGGGGAAUAUUGCACAAUGGGCGGAAGCCGGAUGCAGCAACGCCGCGUGCGGGAUGACGGCCUUCGGGUUGCAAACCGCUUUCGCCUGUGACGAAGCGUGAGUGACGGUAAUGGGUAAAGAAGCACCGGCUAACUACGUG
rnacentral:rRNA from 1 species